UGGGGAAGCUGUGAAGGCCAGUAUGGUGGCUAAGUGCAGGGACUUGAAAGAAGUGGGAGAUGCACAGAUCUAGGAAGGAAGUCCAGUCUAAGCAGGAAGUACUGCAACUGAGAAGACCCUGAGGUGUGAGCCACCAUGCCCAAGUGCUUUUAUCCCAAACACUCCAACAUUCCCAUCAGCUUUGCUGUGGAAAGAUCUUCCUGCCUAUAAAUAUGGAAGUCAGAGAGUCAGUUUAGCAGACCAAUGGUGGUAUAGUACAAGAGACAGCCCCAGAACUGGCCUGGGUAUCAAGGGUAACGUGAGAAGGUGGAUAGAGGGUUAGAGAGUACCAUUUGUUGACUUUAGGGAGUUGACAAGCAAUUAAGGGUGCAUACAAACAUGUAGCAAGGUCUCAGAGCUUACAGUCAGACCCUGACCCUCUCUCACCAUUAGCCAACAGGUAGCGCACCAACUCCUCAUGCCCACAGAGGCAGGCAUAGUACCUAGGAAAGGGGGAAGCUGUCAGUAGGGUAGGCCCACCCUGCCCACCCAGCUACCCCACCGCUCACACUCACAAAGGGGUGCUGUCCCACUUAUCCCGCACGUUCACCUCCACGUCUCGCUGCUCCAGCAGGUACCUGGGCAGGAAGUUCAAAGCCCGGAUCAGAAUUGCUUCCGAUCUGGGAGAGAGACAACUAGGAAGGGGAAGGAGGCCACAUCUCUCUGGGCUAGAGAUGCCUCUGAGAAGGGCAAGGCCGGGGACUACACAGGGCGGCAAGGGCCUGCAACUGUGAGUUGGGUGAUGGCUUCAAGGACAGAGGCCAAGCCCCAGGUUCUUGUAAUAUUUGGGAGAGGGAAGGUGAUGGGGCCCCUAAGGCAGCUUGGGGAGACGAUGACAGGGAAACCAGAGGAAAGCUGAUGCAGGCACUGGGGGAGGGAGAGCAGAACAGAUCUAUGGAAGAAAUAGGAAGUGGAAAUAACAAUUGAUAAGAUAUUGAAAAGAGGUCAUGAACCAGAAAGCGAUCACUGGAAUAUGGCAGCCCAAGGAGACUAUCAAGGCAAGAUCCGGGCUCUCAGAGUUGCACUCAAGUUGAGGAACAGAUCAUUAACUCUGAGGCCGCAUCCGUUAUUGGGGACAAACUUAAGGAGGGUUUCGGAGAGGGCUGCAGUCUGGACACCUCUGAUGAGGACCAGGGUAUCUGGAAGGAAGGGCCACGGGAGAAAGGAGUCUAUCAAAGAAAAGUAAGGGCCAGGAUCCUUUCUCUUCCCUGCCUGCCCACGGAGACCAGGGUCUCGGCUCCAGGCUCGUAACUGGCUGCACCAGCAGAGCCUGCGUCUCUUGGAACCUCCACGGAGAGGAGUCGUUUCCCCUGCACCGAGUUAAGGAAGGGACCUGGAGCCCGAUCUCUCUGGACUCGGUCAGCUUCGGGAACCCCACGGCGCCCGACCGCACACCCGUGCCCGAUAAGCCCUGCGGACGCCUGCCCGCCUCCUGCACGUCAGAUCCUCACCGCACACGGCCCACGUCCCCCUUCCUGCAGCUGGCAAACAGGUCGCUGGUGUCCAUGGCGAAAGAGGUUGGACCCUCGGCCGAGCGAUCUCGGGAGUUGUCUGUGCCCGGCCGGAUGUAAACACUCACCGCCCCGCCCCUCGCGGCACGGUCUAGCUAUGCCCGCCUGCGGCUCCGCAGCGGCGCCUGGCGUCCGGAGGACCGUCCCGCCCGAACCCGGUCCUCCCAUCGAGAAGGCCGCUCCCCGAGGCCCCACCCAGUAACCUCAACCACGCCCACCUAGCCUCUGGGGACCUCUAGUCUUCACCCCGCCCACCCGUCUAGAGGACAACUCAGUUCUCCCAGGUUCCGUCCACUCGCCCCAAGAACAGCUCACUACCAAGAGCCCGCCCCCUCGGAGGAGCUUCACCCGAAGAGCAGUCCGCUGCAGGCCCCGCCCACCUCACACGGACUCAGUUCUGAGGACAGCACCUCCCCCAGGCUUGGAAUACUGAACCUUAACAACG